CGGUCCUGGGUGCUAUAAGGAAGCAGGGUUAGCAAGUCAUGAGAAGCAGAGAAGCAGCACCCAUCCAUGACCCCUGAGCUGUUUGAGUCCCUGUUCUAUCACUGUCUGUCCACAGUGACAGAACAUUCCCUGAAUGUAGAAGUGAAAUAAACCUUUCCAGUCCAAGUUGUUUAUGGCUAGGAUGACUCAUCACAGUACUAGGAACCUAAUAAAGACACCUAUGUGUCUGGAACCUUAUAAAGUUUUCUUAGACAAAAAGGAUUUUCAAAUGGAAAGUUUCAGAAGCCCCAUCUGUUGGCAUUUAGUCUAGACUUCACCCCACAGUUACCUGGCAACAGUCAGGUGUGCCUGACUCACUGUAAAGGGAGCUGCUUGCCCCUCCUUUCUCAUUUGCCUUCUUCUUUUUUUUUUUUUUUUUUUUUUGUUUGUUUGUUCUUUUUUUCGGAGCUGGGGACCGAACCCAGGGCUUUGCACUCGCUAGGCAAGCGCUCUACCGCUGAGCUAAAUCCCCAACCACCCCCCUCUUGCUUCUUACCCCCUCCAUCCCUCUCCCCAUCUGUCUACAUGCUCAAAGUCGGCCCCUACUCCUCUCUCUCUCUCUCUCUCUCUCUCUCUCUCUCUCUCUCUCUGCCUUUCUCUGUCUCUACUCCCUCAACUCCCUUCUCCAUGCCCCAAAUAAACUAUAUUCUAUACUGUACUGCAGUAUGGCUGGUCCCUCAGGGGGAAGGGAUGUCUCAGCAUGGGCCCACAGAGGCACCCCCUUCCCCCACACCUGACUGCAUAUCCACCGAACAUUCUCCCCUUUCCUCCUUAUAUGUUUAUAAAACACAAUACCAUCUAUGAAGCAGAUGCUUUAGUUCCCACUUUAUAGAACAAAGUACACAGACAACCUCUGCCUAGAGCUGCAGGUCUAGCUUUCCAGGCCUUGUUCUCACAAACCAACCUCUGUGCAGAAGUGUGGCAGGCUUAAAAGUUGCUCGUGGUUUUGGGGGGCUAAAGAGAUGACCCAGAGGUGAGGAGCACUGGCCGCUGUUGCAGGUUCAAUUCUCAGCACCCACAUGGCAGCUUGCAACUCUCUGCACCUCCAGUUCCGUGAGACUUAAUGCUCUCUUCUGACCCCUGCAGGCAUUGCAUGCGUGCUGCUGGAUGGAUAGACCCCUGGAAGGCAAAAGACUCACCCACGAGAUAAACAUCUUUUUCCCUUAAAGUAUCUGUGUUACUUUGUUGCUCGUAACAUCACAGCAAACUUAGUAUCUUAAACAAUACACCUUGUCUUGUAGUUCUGCAGGUUACACUUCUGAUGUGCAUCCCACUGGGUUUAAGUCAGGCUGUCAACGGGGCUGACAUAGGGGCCAUAAUUUGUCUUCUUAAGUUUCUUCAGGCUCCCCCACUCCUUUGCUGGUAGACUCUCCUCUCUCACCAGCAGCUAUGGUUGUUUUCUCACUUCAGAUUACUUUAAUCUCACUACUAGCCUUCCUUUUUUUCUGUUACUUGGUCUGAGACUUGUGAGGGGCUCCAGGGUGGUUACGAAGCUGUCUAGUGGCCUCAGAGGUUCAUUAGGUGGAGCUCUUGAGGCUGCCUAGCGCAGAGUAGAGGAGGGAGCCCCUUGGAAGGUGAGGAGGUCUCCUAGUCAAGCUUGAGGGAGAGUUGCUUGAAGUGUAUUCACCCAGAGAUGGCUGGGGCAGCCCAGUCCAUGUUGACUGUGGCCCAACCAGCCUGUAGAAGUUGGCCAUGUGGUUGGCCAUCUUUUUGAUGAGCUUUACCUCUUCAACUAGGAAGUGGUUUUCCAAGAAGUCACAGAGAUGAGGGUCUGUGUAGGCAGAACCCAGGGCAUGCAGAUCCAAGAGGGCCUGGUUCAGGUUCUUCUCCAGGGCCAAGGCAACCUCCCUGGACUCCUGGGUUUUACCCCACUCAUCUAUAGAAAGCUUCACACAUCCUGGAAGAGUGCACCGCUCUCCUGCCCCCAGGUCUGUUCUGCAACAUGAGGAGACGCUUGGUGUCUGUGCUUCUCCCUGACCAAUUCAUGGAAGAAGUGGCCCAAACUCUCGAGAGCCACAUCAACCCAAUCAAAAUAGUAGCCCAGAGAGAGGUAGGAGUAGGAGGCCGGCAUGCGCAGGUAUACCUGGCAAUUCACGGAGGCUUCCUCUUUGGUGGAAAAAUUCUGAUGAAUCUGAAAGGCCAUGGCUGACCGGGAGUAUGGAGCUAACAGGGAAGAGGUGCUGGCUGGUUCUUAGAGUGGACUGAAGGUUGUGAGGAGGUGGUCCCAGAGGCUGUGACUGGGGAGACUGUAAAGUGGCUGGAAGCUAAAAAAGAGGGAAGCCCUGGGUCUGUUCCAUUCAAACACCGUUGAAGGAAGAUACAGAUCCACAGGACCUCCAAGGUGAUGCUCCACAUGAUUGCACGGGGUCCAUGUAGAGAAUUUAAUACUACCUCCCAAGGUUACUAUAUUCCUGGGUCCUAUGGGUCAGGGUGUGGAGGGCCAGGGGAUGUUGCUUUUCCUACCACAUUGCCUACUGAGUGGAAUUCCCCUGACCCCUCUCCAACCUGGCUGCCUUGCUUUGCAGAGGCUUGUUGGAAAACAGCUAUAGCAUGUAAGUCCCUUGUCUUUGCCAGCCCCAUCUCCACCCUUCUCACAAAGCCUGGUACUUAAGUAUGGCUCCCCAGUUAAGAGUACUCGCUGCUCUUGCAGAGGAAUGUUUGUGACUCCAGCUCCAAGGGAUCCGACGCCCUUUUCUGGCCCCUGUGAGCACCGCCCACACCAGGCACAUACUCACAAACACACAGUACAUAUAAAUCCACUUUUUAAAAGAAUUACCUUGAAAGUGGGUGGGGUGUCAUACAGCUGUAAUAUCAGCACUCUGGAACAGAAAGAAGCAGGAGGAUUACCUCGGGUUUGAAGCCAGCCUGGUGUACAUAGCAUGACUCUGCCUCAAAAAUUGUUCCCUCCCUCCAAAAUUCUCCUUAUCUGCUGGUUCCAGCCCCAGUGUGCUUUGGGUGAUUAAAUGACCCGGAGAGGCUUACUUCCUGCCUCUGAGUGAACUCUCUAGAGGAGGUCCUCAGUCAGGAGGGGAGUCUGUGUGGCGACUCUCGACUCUUGCCCUUUCUUUUUAAGGGCCUUCUGGGUUUGGCUGGGCGGUGCUGAUGCUGUGUUUGACAGGCACUGGGAUAGCAUUGACACUGUGUCUUCUGAUAAACUGCCAGGGAGAAUGAAGUGCCCCGCUCCCAGGUGGGAAUAAACAGUUGAAUUGGGACGUCAAAAAACUGAUAAACUGUUGCUGCCCUUGGAGUCCAGCACUGCUGGGGAAGCCCUGCCAAGGGGGCUGCUUGAUCUGCACAAGCCUCUCUUAAAGGACCACCAGCAGCUUCUCAGCUACUCUGGUAAGGAAGGGCUAGUUCUGCUACAAAAUCUCUGUGCCCAUGAGAACUGCAUUCGGCAGGUGGCAGCAAGAUGCUCCUCUCUUGACAUUACAGCUAGAAAAAACAUAGACUCCAAAAUCCUAACAGUGACUCCCCCAAGGUCUCCAAGAGUAUAUGGACACAAUGAUAUAAGACAGUACCGGGAUCGUGGUAUGACGACCACUGAACAAAACUGCUUAAUACUUCACACACUGCCACAGCCCUGCCUGAACUGUGGACAGAGGACAACUGGAGAAUUGACUGCCAUGUUGCUUAUGACAAGUUGUCAGUGCUGAUGCUCCAGCGAGCAGCAAGCUGUACAUCGCUUUACCCCUGCGGCUGGUGGGAGUGGCUGAAGAAGUGCAUUGCUGAGUGAGGCGCAGAACAAGCUCCACCGUCAGUAGAAGUGCUGUGCUCUUCUUUUGGUGGGAGGAUGAUUUAUUUUUAGGGGCUGGAGAGAUGGCUCAGUAGUUAAGAGCACUUACUGCUCUUCCAGAGGUCCUGAGUUCAGUUCCCAGCAACCACAUGGUGGCUCACAACCAUCUGUCAUGGGAUCUGAUGCCCUCUUGCUAC